rnacentral:rRNA from 1 species
UGGUGCAUGGUUGUCGUCAGCUCGUGUCGUGAGAUGUUGGGUUAAGUCCCGCAACGAGCGCAACCCUCGACCUUAGUUGCCAGCAUUCAGUUGGGCACUCUAAGGUGACUGCCGGCUAAAAGUCGGAGGAAGGUGGGGAUGACGUCAAAUCAUCAUGCCCCUUAUGACCUGGGCUACACACGUGCUACAAUGGGCGGUACAAAGGGUCGCGAACCCGCGAGGGGGAGCCAAUCCCAAAAAGCCGCUCUCAGUUCGGAUUGCAGGCUGCAACUCGCCUGCAUGAAGCCGGAAUCGCUAGUAAUCGCGGAUCAGCAUGCCGCGGUGAAUACGUUCCCGGGCCUU